ACUCAAAGGAAUAGACGGGGGCCUGCACAAGCGGUGGAGUAUGUGGCUUAAUUCGAUGCAACGCGAAGAACCUUACCUGGCCUUGACAUGCAAGUAGUAGAAGCUUGAAAGAGUAACGAGGUAGCAAUACCAGCUUGCACAGGUGCUGCAUGGCUGUCGUCAGCUCGUGUCGUGAGAUGUUGGGUUAAGUCCCGCAACGAGCGCAACCCUUGUGUCCUGUUGCCACUCGAACGAGAGUUCGAAGCACUCUGGACAGACUGCCUCGCUUAAACGAGGAGGAAGGUGGGGAUGACGUCAAGUCAGUAUGGCCCUUACGGCCAGGGCUGCACACGUACUACAAUGCCCGGUACAAAGGGAAGCAAGACCGCAAGGUGGAGCAAAUCCCAUAAAACCGGGCCCAGUUCAGAUUGUCGGCUGCAACUCGCCGACAUGAAGCCGGAAUCGCUAGUAAUGGCGCAUCAGCUACGGCGCCGUGAAUACGUUCCCAGGCCUUGCACACACCGCCCGU
rnacentral:rRNA from 1 species